AAUAAGAUAGGAUAAAUAAGUCUGUUAGGUUCAUACCCUAAAGGUGAAAUGUCUCUUAUUAU
rnacentral:tRNA from 1 species